AUUGAACGCUGGCGGCAUGCCUUACACAUGCAAGUCGAACGGCAGCGGGCCUUCGGGUGCCGGCGAGUGGCGAACGGGUGAGUAAUGCAUCGGAACGUGCCAUUGAGUGGGGGAUAACGUAGCGAAAGUUACGCUAAUACCGCAUAUUCUGUGAGCAGGAAAGCAGGGGACCGCAAGGCCUUGCGCUCUUUGAGCGGCCGAUGUCAGAUUAGCUAGUUGGUGAGGUAAAGGCUUACCAAGGCGACGAUCUGUAGCGGGUCUGAGAGGAUGAUCCGCCACACUGGAACUGAGUCACGGUCCAGACUCCUACGGGAGGCAGCAGUGGGGAAUUUUGGACAAUGGGCGCAAGCCUGAUCCAGCCAUGCCGCGUGAGUGAAGAAGGCC
rnacentral:rRNA from 1 species